rnacentral:rRNA from 1 species
AUUGAACGCUGGCGGCAGGCUUAACACAUGCAAGUCGAGCGGAGAUGAGGUGCUUGCACCUUAUCUUAGCGGCGGACGGGUGAGUAAUGCUUAGGAAUCUGCCUAUUAGUGGGGGACAACAUUCCGAAAGGAAUGCUAAUACCGCAUACGUCCUACGGGAGAAAGCAGGGGAUCUUCGGACCUUGCGCCAAGAGAUGAGCCUAAGUCGGAUUAGCUAGUUGGUGGGGUAAAGGCCUACCAAGGCGACGAUCUGUAGCGGGUCUGAGAGGAUGAUCCGCCACACUGGGACUGAGACACGGCCCAGACUCCUACGGGAGGCAGAAGUGGGGAAUAUUGGACAAUGGGGGAAACCCUGAUCCAGCCAUGCCGCGUGUGUGAAGAAGGCCUUAUGGUUGUAAAGCACUUUAAGCGAGGAGGAGGCUACUGAGACUAAUACUCUUGGAUAGUGGACGUUACUCGCAGAAUAAGCACCGGCUAACUCUGUGCCAGCCGCCGCGGUAAGAC